CCAGACUCCUACGGGAGGCAGCAGUCGGGAAUAUUGCGCAAUGGAGGAAACUCUGACGCAGUGACGCCGCGUGCAGGAAGAAGGUUUUCGGAUUGUAAACUGCUUUCGACAGGGAAGAAACAAGACAGUACCUGUAGAAUAAGCUCCGGCUAACUACGUGCCAGCAGCCGCGGUAAUACGUAGGGAGCAAGCGUUAUCCGGAUUUAUUGGGUGUAAAGGGUGCGUAGACGGAGAAGCAAGUUAGUUGUGAAAUCCCUCGGCUUAACUGAGGAACUGCAACUAAAACUACUUCCCUUGAGUGCUGGAGAGGAAAGUGGAAUUCCUAGUGUAGCGGUGAAAUGCGUAGAUAUUAGGAGGAACACCAGUGGCGAAGGCGACUUUCUGGACAGUAACUGACGUUGAGGCACGAAAGUGUGGGGAGCAAACAGGAUUAGAUACCCGCGUAC
rnacentral:rRNA from 1 species